UACGGAGGGUGCAAACGUUGCUCGGAAUCAUUGGGCGUAAAGCGCACGUAGGCGGGUUGUUAAGUCGGAUGUGAAAUCCCUCAGCUUAACUGAGGAAGUGCACUCGAAACUGGCAGCCUUGAGUAUGGAAGAGGGUCGCGGAGUUCCCGGUGUAGAGGUGAAAUUCGUAGAUAUCGGGAGGAACAUCAGUGGCGAAGGCGGCUGCCUGGCCCAAUACUGACACUCAGGUGCGACAGCGUGGGGAGCAAACAGG
rnacentral:rRNA from 1 species